rnacentral:tRNA from 1 species
CCUGCCCCUGCAGUACGCGGCGCUGGCCGCCUGCUGCGCGGUGUGGGCACGCGGCGGGCUGAGCCCGUUCGGGGCGGUGGGCCUGGU